CCAGCGAGUGCCAUUCGCCGAAUGUAAGCCGAGACAAAGAAAUAUGGAGAAAACGCAAAAAGGGGGGAGCGCCGAUAAGAGCGAAUUAUUACAUAAUUCGCAGUUAACUUAACUUACCCAUGAGAUCAGAUGCCAGUGCCUCCUUUUGAUCCACUGGCACUUUGGAGAUUUUUCCACCCUUGUAAACGUAACUGCCCUCAAUUGACUUGAACUCCAGAUAACGGGUAACGC